rnacentral:rRNA from 1 species
CAAGCGCCGCUGAGGGAUGGGCCUGCGUCCGAUUAGCUUGUUGGUGGGGUAACGGCCCACCAAGGCGACGAUCGGUAGCCGGUCUGAGAGGAUGAACGGCCACAUUGGGACUGAGACACGGCCCAGACUCCUACGGGAGGCAGCAGUGGGGAAUCUUCCGCAAUGGGCGAAAGCCUGACGGAGCAACGCCGCGUGAGUGAUGAAGUUCUUCGGAACGUAAAACUCUGUUGUUCACGACGAACGGGGGGACCAGGAAAUGGGUUUCCAGUGACGGUAGUGAACGAGGAAGCCACGGCUAACUACGUGCCAGCAGCCGCGGUAAU